CGGAGGAAAAUAAACUAACAAGGAUUCCCCUAGUAACUGCGAGUGAAGCGGGAAAAGCUCAAAUUUAAAAUCUGGUGGUCUUUGGCCAUCCGAGUUGUAAUCUAGAGAAGUGUUAUCCGCGCUGGACCGUGUACAAGUCCCCUGGAAUGGGGCGUCAUAGAGGGUGAGAAUCCCGUCUUUGACACGGACUACCAGGGCUUUGUGAUGCACUCUCAAAGAGUCGAGUUGUUUGGGAAUGCAGCUCAAAAUGGGUGGUAAAUUCCAUCUAAAGCUAAAUAUUGGCGAGAGACCGAUAGCGAACAAGUACCGUGAGGGAAAGAUGAAAAGAACUUUGGAAAGAGAGUUAAACAGUACGUGAAAUUGUUGAAAGGGAAACGCUUGAAGUCAGUCGCGUCUGCCAGGGAUCAACCUUACUUUUGUGAGGCGUACUUCCUGGUUGAUGGGUCAGCAUCAGUUUUGGUCGCUGGAUAAAGGUCAGAGAAAUGUGGCACCUUCGGGUGUGUUAUAGUCUUUGAUCAGAUACAGUGGCUGGGACUGAGGAACUCAGCGCCGCAAGGCUGUCUUAGGAUGCUGGCAAAAUGGCUUUAAUCGACCCGUCUUGAAACACGGACAAAGGAAGU
rnacentral:rRNA from 2 species